UAAAAGGCCUUAUUAAAGGCCAUCUAAAAAGACAUGCAGUACUACG
rfam:Amazona aestiva scaffold_384, whole genome shotgun sequence.